rnacentral:rRNA from 1 species
GGGGGACGGAGAAGGCUAUGUUGGCCGGGCGACGGUUGUCCCGGUUUAAGCGUGUAGGUGUGUGUUCCAGGUAAAUCCGGUUCACUUUAACACUGAGGCGUGAUGACGAGGCACUACGGUGCUGAAGUAACAAAUGCCCUGCUUCCAGGAAAAGCCUCUAAGCAUCAGGUAACACGAAAUCGUACCCCAAACCGACACAGGUGGUCAGGUAGAGAAUACCAAGGCGCUUGAGAGAACUCGGGUGAAGGAACUAGGCAAAAUGGUGCCGUAACUUCGGGAGAAGGCACGCUGACACGUAGGUGAAGUGAUUUACUCACGGAGCUGAAGUCAGUCGAAGAUACCAGCUGGCUGCAACUGUUUAUUAAAAACACAGCACUGUGCAAACACGAAAGUGGACGUAUACGGUGUGACGCCUGCCCGGUGCCGGAAGGUUAAUUGAUGGGGUCAGCGCAAGCGAAGCUCCUGAUCGAAGCCCCGGUAAACGGCGGCCGUAACUAUAACGGUCCUAAGGUAGCGAAAUUCCUUGUCGGGUAAGUUCCGACCUGCACGAAUGGCGUAAUGAUGGCCAGGCUGUCUCCACCCGAGACUCAGUGAAAUUGAACUCGCUGUGAAGAUGCAGUGUACCCGCGGCAAGACGGAAAGACCCCGUGAACCUUUACUAUAGCUUGACACUGAACAUUGAGCCUUGAUGUGUAGGAUAGGUGGGAGGCUUUGAAGCGUGGACGCCAGUCUGCGUGGAGCCGGCCUUGAAAUACCACCCUUUAAUGUUUGAUGUUCUAACGUGGACCCGUAAUCCGGGUUGCGGACAGUGUCUGGUGGGUAGUUUGACUGGGGCGGUCUCCUCCUAAAGAGUAACGGAGGAGCACGAAGGUUGGCUAAUCCUGGUCGGACAUCAGGAGGUUAGUGCAAUGGCAUAAGCCAGCUUGACUGCGAGCGUGACGGCGCGAGCAGGUGCGAAAGCAGGUCAUAGUGAUCCGGUGGUUCUGAAUGGAAGGGCCAUCGCUCAACGGAUAAAAGGUACUCCGGGGAUAACAGGCUGAUACCGCCCAAGAGUUCAUAUCGACGGCGGUGUUUGGCACCUCGAUGUCGGCUCAUCACAUCCUGGGGCUGAAGUAGGUCCCAAGGGUAUGGCUGUUCGCCAUUUAAAGUGGUACGCGAGCUGGGUUUAGAACGUCGUGAGACAGUUCGGUCCCUAUCUGCCGUGGGCGCUGGAGAACUGAGGGGGGCUGCUCCUAGUACGAGAGGACCGGAGUGGACGCAUCACUGGUGUUCGGGUUGUCAUGCCAAUGGCACUGCCCGGUAGCUAAAUGCGGAAGAGAUAAGUGCUGAAAGCAUCUAAGCACGAAACUUGCCCCG